AGAGAGUACUCACGGAGAGAAUUCUAUUCCUUAGAUGAUUCGGUGUAUUUGAGUAACAGUUCAUUGCAAUGUUAUUUUCAGGUUUCAAACGUUUUAGUACAAUUCCCUCUUAUUUUAAAAAUCUAAUUAUGUUUACAUCAAAAUUCUGUACAGAUCGAGAUGUCAGAAAUUAGAGACGCUUCUUAAAUCUCUAUAAAUCUCUAACCACUGUUCACUUACCGAAACUGGUGGUAACUGAUACUUGCUGCACAUUAAUUUUUUGUUGUAAUAGAGACCAUGACCACAGCCAUGCUUCAUGUUUUCACAAGGCUGUAGUAAUCCCAAGAAAACAACAACAACAACAACAAAAAAAAAAAAAAAAAAAAAAAAAAAGUGUGCUGAAAACUCAGAAUAAUAUGGCAUGGAUCUAAUAAAUUACCUGGAACUGGGUACUCAAUUCUGCUCUUCGACCAGCAAAGGAUGUUACAGUGCUAUGCAUUUGCAGGUCUUAGCUGGAGUCUGCAGAGACAGACAAAAGUGCCAACAUACAAAACAACAACAAAACAACAAUAAUAAUAAUAAUAAACAACUGCUAUUUCUGAACUGCCUGAAAUUUGGAAGAACUGUAAGUCUUGUGAGACUUGUCUCAGAAGGCUUAUCUGCCACAACAAAAAGAAAAAGGAGGCAAGGCACUAUUAUGGUCAAAUGCCAUAAAAACAUCAAUAAUAAGAGGUUUUUCAGUGCUAUUUGA
rnacentral:lncRNA from 1 species